GUGCAGGAUAAGUUACAACAUGGCUGUGUGGUGCUGUGCUGUCGUUCCCCCUGCCAAAAGCAACUCGCUUCCUACUAUCCCUGUUGGCCUCGCUGUCACGGCCGCCAGGGACGCUUGGUCACGAACAC